GGAAUUGUGGCUCAGUGGCAGAGCACUUGCCUCACAUGUAUGAGGCACUGGGUUCGAUCCUCAGCACCA
rnacentral:tRNA from 1 species